GGACCUUAAUUGCUGAGUGGUGGGAUGUCUGCCUUGGAAGCAGAAGAUCACAGGUUCAAUCCCUGGCAUCUCCA